GGGUUGUGAGGUUAAGCGACUAAGCGUACACGGUGGAUGCCCUGGCAGUCAGAGGCGAUGAAGGACGUGCUAAUCUGCGAAAAGCGUCGGUAAGGUGAUAUGAACCGUUAUAGCCGGCGAUGUCCGAAUGGGGAAACCCAGUGCAAUUCGUUGCACUAUCGUUAACUGAAUACAUAGGUUAACGAGGCGAACCGGGGGAACUGAAACAUCUAAGUACCCCGAGGAAAAGAAAUCAACCGAGAUUCCCCCAGUAGCGGCGAGCGAACGGGGAGCAGCCCGGAGUCUGAAUCAGCUUGUGUGUUAGUGGAAGCGUCUGGAAAGUCGCAGGGUACAGGGUGAUACUCCCGUACACUAAAGCACACAGGUUGUGAACUCGAAGAGUAGGGCGGGACACGUGGUAUCCUGUCUGAAUAUGGGGGGACCAUCCUCCAAGGCUAAAUACUCCUGACUGACCGAUAGUGAACCAGUACCGUGAGGGAAAGGCGAAAAGAAC
rnacentral:rRNA from 1 species